rnacentral:rRNA from 1 species
UACAGAGGUCUCAAGCGUUGCUCGGAUUCAUUGGGCGUAAAGGGUGCGUAGGCGGCGCGGUAAGUCGGGUGUGAAAUCUCGGAGCUUAACUCCGAAACUGCAUUCGAUACUGCCGUGCUUGAGGACUGGAGAGGAGACUGGAAUUUACGGUGUAGCGGUGAAAUGCGUAGAUAUCGUAAGGAAGACCAGUGGCGAAGGCGGGUCUCUGGACAGUUCCUGACACUGAGGCACGAAGGCCAGGGGAGCAAACGGG